CAGCAGCCGCGGGAAUACGUAGGGUGCGAGCGUUAAUCGGAAUUACUGGGCGUAAAGCGUGCGCAGGCGGUGAUGUAAGACAGAUGUGAAAUCCCCGGGCUCAACCUGGGAACUGCAUUUGUGACUGGCAAGCUAGAGUGUGGCAGAGGGGGGUGGAAUUCCGCGUGUAGCAGUGAAAUGCGCAGAUAUGCGGAGGAAUACCGAUGGCGAAGGCAGCCCCCUGGGCCAACACUGACGCUCAUGCACGAAAGCGUGGGGAGCAAACAGGAUUAGAUACCCCCGUAGUCCCUGUCUCUUAUAC
rnacentral:rRNA from 1 species